rnacentral:rRNA from 1 species
GACGAACGCUGGCGGCGUGCCUAACACAUGCAAGUCGAGCGGGAAUUUACCGAAUGAAGCUUCGGCGGAAUUCGGUAAAGGAUAGCGGCGGACGGGUGAGUAACGCGUGAGUAACCUGCCCUUAAGAGGGGAUAACACAUCGAAAGGUGUGCUAAUACCGCAUAACAUAUGCAAUCCGCAUGGAAGCAUAUCAAAGAUUUAUCGCUUAAAGGAUGGACUCGCGUCUGAUUAGAUAGUUGGCAGGGUAACGGCCUACCAAGUCGACGAUCAGUAGCCGAACUGAGAGGUUGAUCGGCCACACUUGGGACUGAGACA